UGCUCAGCUCCAACUACAGCAGCUACAAAGAGCUGAGGUGUAUGAUCUGAGUCUUUUCCUGGAUAAAUGGUUAGUGGGAAAUGAGUGAGAGAUUACAGCUCCAUGGACAUGUCUGCUCCGGACGCUUGGAGGGAAACCAGACCUUCCAGAAAUCAGGAUUUGCAGCGUCCUCUGAGGGUUCUGGCUCGGCCUAGGCAUCCUGUCAGCACCAGCACCUGGCUGCCCAGCGGCCGCGACUCUGCAUGCAGGAGACCCAUUUUUGUGUCAUUUGUCAGUAAGGCCAUCUUAUGGGAUCGAGGAGUCUGCCACUACACUGUCCCUGAACGCCCGGUCCAUCGUCCCUCUCUCUGUCCCCGCUUCCUGUCCCACAUGAAGGCUUGCCCUGAAGACUUCAGGCCUCCAUAUUUCCUGAGCUCCAAGUCCAAACCUCAGCCUCUACCUCAGGAGAGGACGCAUGCACACACUCUGACUGCCCCACAAGUGCUGAGUGAGGGGCGCUGCCAUUUUAAUCCCACCAGGAGAAGAGGAAUCACUGGUCAGAGUGCAGGUUUGAACCCAGGAAGGCGCUCUGCUUCCAUUGUUGUUCCCUGUCCUCAGCCCCCUGCUACACCACCUCCACCCACCCCUUCUCCAUCACCUUCCCUUCACAACACAAUCCAUCCUGAAUCUGAAAGCAAGUUAAACACAGUCCCAGCAUCUCCCCCUGGCCUUCCUCUUCCUCAUCUGCCUCCUCCACGGGAAAAAGAGGAAGAACUUUCAGAGAGGGAAAUGAUGUCACAGCCUGCUGUGGAAGAGCAGGACUGGGAGCUGAACCUGGAGUGUGAUGUAUCAACGCCCUCAGCAUCACCAACCUCCCUCUCCCGGGAAUCUUUCUCAGACUUAAGUCGUCCAGCCUCCAGUUUGUUCAGCCGGAGCACUGACCUUGCUAGUGGCAGGAGCAGCAUCCUGUGUGAUGAACCUGCUGGUGAAACUGGUAGAGUCUCUGCUGCUUUCAACGCAGAUAUUGAGGACUCAGAUCUUAAGGACACCAGUUGUCUUUCUCCUCUUCAGCCUUCCCCAGUAUUGCAGUUACUUACUUCCCCUCCAACAUCAUUGAAUCCCCAUCAGAAUAACACCGUGACCACACCUCCACUCUAUGAGGCAGGCUUUGGUCAAACCAAGUCCCUCUCACCUCACCUAGUGCAGGGGGCCCAUCCUAAUUCAGAUAAACCUCUGUGCAGCAGCAGAUGCACAGACCCAGCAGAAAAUCUCCAACUUGAUGCCUCCAUGGACGCUGGUCUCAACCCAUCGGAUCAAGCACAUCCCUCACUGGCUUUCCCCUCUGCCACUUGGUCGUCCUGCCCCAGUCCACAGAGGACCACUCUCCGCUCAGGGUCAGGAGCAAAGCUGACCCCUUCUUCUCCAGUGUCCCGGCUGGAGUCUCAACGCUGGCCCGUCCUGCCUCCUAUCUCCCCUGUCAGAGGUCGCUCAGCAGCCUCUCACAGCUCGGAACUCAGCUGCACUCAGUCCUGCAUGUUCGAUGAACUGGAGGCCAUCGCUCCUCUCUCCACUUCCUGUUUGUCUCUGGACGAGCCGUCAGACUCAUCAGACAGCCCCUCGCCUGAUACAGCGCUGUCCCCAGGCCUCGCAGCGCUGACGGUGGGCUGUGACUCUGGGAAUCUGGGUUCCCUGUCCCGGGUCCAGCUGCUCCUACUGGACCGAACUGUGCCUGAGAACCUGGUUCUGGAGGAGGAAGAGGAGGAGUUCUCACCAGUGGAGGACUGGUCUGAUUUGAGUAUGGAUCACAUCUAUCCAGGUGUUUCGAGGCCCAGCACAGCUGGCAGCAUCUCUGAAAGGUGUGACUCCACAGGGGAAGUCCAGGAAAACAAAUCGGUGAGUGCUGCUGCCCCCUGUGAGACCACUUUUUAUGCUUUACCCCCCUCCUCUCUUCAUCUAUCUAUCA
ensembl:lncRNA